rnacentral:rRNA from 1 species
CCCUUAGAUGUUCUGGGCUGCACACGUGCUACACUGGCAGGUUCAGCGAGCUUCAUGCCCUGAUCUGAAAGGAAUGGGAAAUCUUUUCAAAACCUGCCGUGCUUGGGAUAGAUGUUUGCAAUUAUUCAUCUUCAACGAGGAUUGCCUUGUAAGCGCACGUCAUCAGCGUGCAUUGUAUACGACCCUGUAUUCUGUACACACCGCCCGUCGCUCCUACCGAUUGAAGUUUUCGGUGAGUUGACAGGAGGAUUUUUUUGAAACUGGUUCGCCAGUGGAUUUUAGAUCCAAAUGCCAACGAAUCGAUGGCUUUAGAGGAAGGAGAAGUCGUAACA